UACGUAGGGGGCAAGCGUUGUCCGGAUUUAUUGGGCGUAAAGAGCGUGUAGGCGGCCUGGUAGGUCAGCUGUGAAAACUCGAGGCUCAACCUCGAGACGCCGGUUGAAACCAUCAGGCUAGAGUCCGGAAGAGGAGAGUGGAAUUCCCGGUGUAGCGGUGAAAUGCGCAGAUAUCGGGAAGAACACCCGUGGCUAAGGCGGCUCUCUAGUACGGUACUGACGCUGAGUACGCGAAAACGUGGGGAGCGAACAGG
rnacentral:rRNA from 1 species